AUGCACAAUUAAGUGAAUGAUGUUAUUAUAGUGCUUAACCUUUGAGUUAAAUCAUGCAAUUUCAUAUUGUAGACAUGAUGACAGAAUUUCUAGCAUAUCAUAUAUAGUGGAGCUACAUACAUAUACAUUUAUAUUGUGCAAUGAAUUAUGUAGAAACAAUGUGUAGAAUACUUUAUGUGAUAUUUCCCAUACUUGUGUAGACAAGUUGAUUAUGACUUUCACAUGGCAGAACCAGUAUGAAUUUCGUGUUCUUGUAUAUAAUCUAGUUAAGUAACUAGAACUGGGCAUUAUGAUAUAAGCUCCGACCUAGGGGUCGUGAGAUAAUAUAUUUGCAUGGUCAGAUAGAAGUAAUUGCAUAAUAAUUAUAUACUCCAUGUAGUGGAGGCCUAUGUAGAAGUACAUGACAUAUGCUAUGAGUUUGUAUGAACACCAUAGUGAAUUAGUGACUAUGACAUUAGUAAACCACUUUUCUUAUGUUAUAGGGAGUAGUGAAUGGACUAUAUGUGAAUAUGCGGGUGUAGCCCAUUAGAAUCAUCUAUAAGAUGUAAAUUAGUGUAUGCUUAAGUCAUAUUAUCUAUUGGUAGAAAUAUGUCACCAAAUAGUUAAAAGUGAAACAUGACUUUAUGUUAAUUGCCGACUUAGUGUCGGGGUAAUUAUGAUUCCAUAUUUGAAACAUGAUGAUUGGGUAUGAGACCUAUGGACCUUAUACUAUGGAUUACGCUUGCUUGCCAAUGUGCUCAUUCGCACAUACUUGUGAGGGUCGCUCCCCACAAGCCGGCACUCCGGAGUUGGCCUACGCGACAUCAGAUCACCCGUGCGGAACUGAGCACCGAAGUGGAUUGUCGUGGGUAGUGUUGACUUCCACGGGACCAUUAGGUACGGUGCAGCCGAGACUUUACCAUAGAAUCUUCCAUAACAGAAAAGAUUAGGGUUCGUGGUAAGAGAUCAGCGGCUAGCUCCCAGUGGGUAAGCCGCCGAGAAUGAUCAAUUAUACCCGUAGUGGCACGCAGUGUACUGUAAGAAAGCUGCGACGAGAAUAUCGCACUGUGAGAGAGUUUGAGAGGGAAUCCUCUCGUUGGGUCAAUUGUAUUGGCCACAAAGUUGCACCAUUUUAUAAAGUUAUUGCACUGCUUGUCGGAUUAUUCCACUAUUUAGAGAGAUCUGACACCAUUUGUCGUCUGUAUUGCACACAAUUAAUUCUCUAUUUUUUUGCAUAACUUUUUUUUUAAAUUUACCCGAAGAGCAAACAGCGAGGAUGACUAAUAAGAUUGAAGGAUUUAGAUCGUUUCC